rnacentral:tRNA from 1 species
CCUUUCGUGGUGUAAUUGGAAACAUAUUCGACUUAUAUUUGAAAGGCGCGGGUUUGAGUUUCGGCGAAGGCA